rnacentral:piRNA from 1 species
UAACCAGAAAGUUACCCUUCUAUUUGCGGA